AACGAACGCUGGCGGCAGGCUUAACACAUGCAAGUCGAGCGAGACCUUCGGGUCUAGCGGCGGACGGGUGAGUAACGCGUGGGAACGUGCCCUUCUCUACGGAAUAGCCCCGGGAAACUGGGAGUAAUACCGUAUACGCCCUUUGGGGGAAAGAUUUAUCGGAGCAGGAUCGGCCCGCGUUGGAUUAGGUAGUUGGUGGGGUAAUGGCCCACCAAGCCGACGAUCCAUAGCUGGUUUGAGAGGAUGAUCAGCCACACUGGGACUGAGACACGGCCCAGACUCCUACGGGAGGCAGCAGUGGGGAAUCUUAGACAAUGGGGGCAACCCUGAUCGAGCCAUGCCGCGUGAGUGAUGAAGGCCUUAGGGUUGUAAAGCUCUUUCAGCUGGGAAGAUAAUGACGGUACCAGCAGAAGAAGCCCCGGCUAACUCCGUG
rnacentral:rRNA from 1 species